AUUGAACGCUGGCGGCAGGCCUAACACAUGCAAGUCGAGCGGAUGAAGGGAGCUUGCUCCUGGAUUCAGCGGCGGACGGGUGAGUAAUGCCUAGGAAUCUGCCUGGUAGUGGGGGAUAACGUCCGGAAACGGGCGCUAAUACCGCAUACGUCCUGAGGGAGAAAGUGGGUGAUCUUCGGACCUCACGCUAUCAGAUGAGCCUAGGUCGGAUUAGUUAGUUGGUGGGGUAAAGGCCUACCAAGGCGACGAUCCGUAACUGGUCUGAGAGGAUGAUCAGUCACACUGGAACUGAGACACGGUCCAGACUCCUACGGGAGGCAGCAGUGGGGAAUAUUGGACAAUGGGCGAAAGCCUGAUCCAGCCAUGCCGCGUGUGUGAAGAAGGUCUUCGGAUUGUAAAGCACUUUAAGUUGGGAGGAAGGGCAGUAAGUUAAUACCUUGCUGUUUUGACGUUACCAACAGAAUAAGCACCGGCUAACUUCGUG
rnacentral:rRNA from 1 species